UUUUUUUUUUUUUUUUGCGCUUGGCCAGUUCAAUUUCUAAGAAAAAUGAAAAAUCAAGACUUUCUCCCAUUUUUUUCCUUUGGCUGCCGGUUAUCAAUAAAGUGACAGCAACUAAAAUGUCAUCUCAAUCAACAGCUUUUCCCAUAUUUCAUCGGAAGUGAUCCACACACAUUGUACAAGUUGUUAAUAAAAUGGCAGCAACCAAAAUGUUUCAUAAGUUGACGGCACGAUUUAUUCCCUCAAGGUAAAAUAAAGAAAAAAUAAUAGUUAUAAAAUUCCAAUAAUAAAA
rnacentral:misc_RNA from 1 species